GUGCUCACUUUGGCAGUACAUAUACUAAAAUUGGAAUGAUACAGAGGAGAUUAGCAUGGCUCCUGUGCAAGUAUGUUACACAAAUUCAUGAAGCAUUUCAUAUUUUU